ensembl:lncRNA
GUGUGUGUGUGUGUGUGUGUGUGUGUGUGUGUGUGAACUCUCCAAACUUGUGUGUAUUAAAAACAGAAAUUCCCCAGUCUCAGAACAGUUCUCUGCUCCACUUGCAGGAUCUCUGGAAACUGGAGGCACUGGGGAAGUAGAGUAACAAAAUUCUAACUUUGCCCAGCCACCUACUGUCACACACACACAGCCCCGUACUUGUUCUUCUCGCUCGCUUCCACCUUCCCACCUACUGAGCCUGAAACCCAGCCCCACGCCACACGCCAUUAGGCAAUGAUCUUGGAUGCAUCCAGCUGACAUGACAAACGUUCUCCUCUCCAUCUCACUGGUUUGGUGACUCAGUCACCCACUCACCCACCCCCCAGAAAAACUUCCCACAACCAUUUAAGCUGCUAAACUGUGUGACUGCUUGUUACACAGCGUUUCACAGGCGUUAGCUGGCAGAGUUUGUUAUCUAUGGAGGUCCUGGGACCCCCGGUGGGUAGUGAGAGAUGAUUCUACCCCAACCGCUGAGGCCGAGGUUGAAUGUUCUGUUUUCUUCUUCUGAGGUCUCUUGACUCUGAGGGCACAGUUUAGCAGAGAGCACAUGGAUGCUUAGGAGAGAGCACAUACAUGUCACAUGCAAAGCCUGGGGUUCAAACCUCAAGAAGACCAACGCUCCUGGGUUGUCUGACUCUCUGGCAUGACUUUCAAGCCUUCCACCACACGACCCUUGCCUAUAUCAUGAAAGCUUCCUUAUAUUCCGGGGUCUACUCUGCACCUUCAGCCCCAUGAUGCACCAGGCUAAGUAGUCUGAGGCUUCACAUUAGUGGCUCCUUUCUCUUUCCCUAGCUGUUAUCUGCCCAUGCUCCACAUCUCCCUCUGUAACAUUUUGUCUUUGGGGGACAAAAAUGACUCCUUUCAUCCACGGUUGCUUUUGUGUAACUCCUGUGUGUUCUGCGUUGCAGGACCGCCAUUGAUUCCUUUGCCUCAUAGAGUAUUCCCCAGCCUGUGCAUGGGCAUUUGAGUUCUCAGAGCAGAGUCACGUCCCUGUCACUGUGACUAUCAUAGGAUGUCUUAGGCACCCAUAGGCAUGCAUUUUUCUCCAGCCUACACCUAAAGGUGGAACUACCAUUUAAAACGUGGUCCUUUUUAGCUUUGGUAGACACUACUGAUAGUUUCUCAUUGCUGCCCCGUAUCCGGAAGCCCAGUUAGCAACUCCUCAGAAUGUGACCCCUUCUUACAGUGAUGUCUCUGGAGAGGUCACUAAGGUUAAUAGGGUGGGUAGCAACACAGCGUGAAUGGCAUCGUUACUUUAAGAGAGGACGUCUGAACACACAGGAAAGGCCAGAUGAGACGGAGGUAGGAAAAGUUUCUACCCUGUAUUGGUGAGAUGGGCUGGGGAGGUAGCACAGUAUCAGAACAUUUGUCUUGCCAUGCAAGGUCUGGGAUCCAGCCACCAGAAACAAAAAAGCAAACAGAAGGCCAGAGGGAUGGCUCAGUGGGUAAAGGUGCUUGACGCCUGGCCACUCAGGUGCGAUCUGUAGGAUCUGCACAGUGGAAAGAGAGAACCGACACCUGAAAGCAAUCCUCUGACCUCUAUAGAUAUUCUGUGACCUACAUACUCCUGCUCUCUCUCUCUCUCUCUCUCUCUCUCUCUCUCACACACACACACACACACAGCAUAUGCAGUAAUAUUUUUUAAGUGCACAAGAACGAUCAUAGAAGAAAACAAACCUUUGACUCCUUCACCUUGGUCUUUCAGCCUCCAAACCCAAGCAGUCAUAUUUUCACUCUUCCAUCCACCCAGCCUGUGGUGCUCGGUAGACACGUGGAAAUCCUAGCAUGCCAUCAUCAAGGUCUGACCAUCCGGGUUGCCCUGCACCCUCAAAUAACACUUGGAUCAUCAGCUUCAUUUAUUUUAGGCAAACUUACUGGUUACAGAAAAUGAAAAUGCCUGCAGAUUUGUAUUACCCUGGGCUAGAGCUAUUCUUCAUGUUUUUACUAUUGUGGCCAACACAAUACAACCAGCUCACCCCAGCCCUUUAGCAUUCUGUACUACUCAGCCUCUAAAGGACAUGAUGCUAAUGGGCCUAGGAAAGGGCUCAGGAGUUGAGUGCUUGCUGUUAUUGCUGAAGACCAGAGUUCAGUUCCCAGCACCCUCAUCGGGCAACUCACAACUGCCUGUGACCCUAGCUCCCUAGCUCUUCUGGUGCACUCAGAUGAUACACACACACACACACACACACACACACACACACACAUACAUACACACACACACACACACACACACACACAUGUUGGAAGUGAUGCCCUUGAAGCCCUCCAUUAUUGAUGUUAUUAUUAUGGUUAGCGUUAAGUGUGACUGGGUUUAUGGAGAAUCCCCAGCCAGCUGCAGAAGACUAAUACAAACCUGGUGGUCAGGAUGAAUAAUGAUAUGACAGAGCUCUGACCUUGCUGAGAAAUACAUCUGACGUCAAGAUGCCCAAUGUGAUGACCUGUGACCUUUCUGAGAAACCAACAUCCUGCUGACUAAUAGAUAUGACAAACCUGUGACCUUUCUAACAUCCUGUCAACAUCAGCCGAUUCCCUGACCACACGAACACUGUGUCCUUGGCCUGUGUAAAUGUUUCACACUUCCCCCUCCCUCUGUUACCCAUGUUAUGGUAUAAAUUCAGCCUUGGGAAAAAAUAAAAUUGUUGCCUUGAUCAGACUCUUGUCUUGGGGUCCUUCUUGGCGUCUCUUGUCCCCCAUUCUCUUCCAAGUACCCUCAGCACCCUCAUUGACACACACACACACACACACACACACACACACAUAUACACACACACACAUGCACACACAUACACACAUGCACAUACAUACACACACAUAUAAUACACACACAUGCACACACAUACACACAUACAUACACAUGCACACACAUACACAUGCACACACAUACACACAUACACAUGCACACACAUACACACACACAUACACAUGCACACACAUACACACACAUACACACAUACACACACAUGCACACACAUACACACAUACAUACACAUACACACACAUACACACAUACACACACACACAUACACACACAUGCACACACAUACACACACAUGCACACACAUACACACACAUACACACACACAUACACACACAUACACACACACACACACACACACAAGUUCAAUGUUAGGCAGCCAAGUCCCCUCAUCUUCCUGCUUUAUAAGCCAACUCCUCCCCUACAUUCAGUCUCUUCACGAAGGCUAAGGAGAGCCUGACCCCAGUCUAAACUCCUUACCAAGCCAGGCAUCCUUGGAACUGUGCCCUCCAGUGAACCCCCUUUUACUAAUUUCUAAUAGGAACUACAGAGGCUUGGGGCUGUGUUGGAAUGUGGGGAGAAUAGGAAGGAACUCUGGAUUUGACUGGAUUUGGAAUCUGUGAGACAGACAGAAUCUCAGAGACCAAGACGGCCAGAGCAGAGUCAAUCACUGUACAGGUAGGUGUCUCUUCAUGGCAAAGAAAGGAAUGAGCUGGCUUUCAAGGUUACCCAUCACUCAGUGCUCUGUGAAAUACAGUGAAAUCACGUGAAAUAAGUCACAGCUUCUGUUCCAUAGGUCCCAACCCUCCCUCCUAAGGGCCAGGCGCACCCUCACUUUCUCCUGCCUGUCCACACGAACACUCUGGUAUUUCAAAACCAAGUGCUCGCGAUCCUGACCUUGCUCCUCACCUGAGAACACUGGCUCCCCCUUGUGGUCUAGCGCCCGCAGACCUGGUGCUAACAUCCUAGUCUGGGCUGAAUGGAGCCUGGUUCCUCAGAUUCAGGCCGUAGUCACUUCUAGUAUGUCUAAGCAUAGAGGAUAUCUGGGUCAGAGCCUCCCUGGCAUCCUGAAAGGUCGCGGUCAUUCGUGGAGACCUGUUAGCUCUCUUACAGGUCCUGGUCAGUGCGAGUGUUUCCUGUUCAUUGCAGAAGCACCAGCGGUGGCCGGGUUGGUGGGUGGAAUGUUGUGCGAAGGUCUGGUCCUCCUCCAACUUCUUGCUGAAACAGCUAAAGUAAGGAACGGGUUACUGGGCUCCUAGAGUUCCUGUUCUCGGCUCACACAAGGUAAAUGCUCAAGGAAAAUCCUGUUGGAUUUGCAGCAAUAGCUCGGCAGUGAAGAGCAGGAACUGUGGUCUUGUAGAAAAGACCCUUUUGGUGCCUGGCUGCUCACCACUGCUUGCAACUCAAGAUCCAAGAGAUCCGACGCCCUCUUCUGGCCACUGUGGGUAUCUACACUCAAAUACUUAACACCUACCUACACAAUUUAAUAUAAAGUUAACUCUUAGGUAGAACAAAAGAAAGGAAGAGACAGACAGAGAAACUCGUUGAUCUGAGUGUGAUAGUCCACACUGAAAUCCCAGCAGUCAGGAUGCUGAGGCAGGAGGAUAGCAAGUUUGAGGCCAGCCUGGGCUCCAUAACAAGACUCUGUCUCAAAACAAAUACUUGUAUGGUAAAAGGAGCUAGCAAUGCUAUGGGGAAUCAAAAGUUGGUUCCUUCCUGUCUCAGGGUCACAUGGGCUAAGGAAACAGCCAGGUCCUGACUUGGCAUGUGUGCCCUGGUCAGACUGAAAUAGAGGAGCAGCCAGGAGUUUCAGAACAAACACAUUUUACAUUCUUAUCAGGGUGUGUGGGAUAAAAAAUAUAUGAACACAAUAACGAAAUUAGGAAACAAUGUCUCCAACCUUAGGGCUGACUCUCCUGGUUCUGACAUACCGUGUACCAACUGUAUGAGUCAUAUUUUCCUGGAGUAUAACAAACACCUGAAACAAUCAACUUAUAAAACAGAAAUUACUGUUUGGGAUCAUAGUUUGGGAGCUUCCGAUCAAUAAACAGUUGGCCUCAUUGCUUUGAACCUGAGAUAAGCAACACAUGGGGUGGGGGUG